UAUAGAUAUACAUAUGUGUGUGUGUGUGUGUGUGUGUGUCUAUAUAUAUAUAUAUAUAUAGACACACACACACAUACACACAUACACACAUACACACA
rnacentral:miRNA from 1 species